GACAGAGGGGGCAAGCGUUGCUCGGAAUUACUGGGCGUAAAGGGCGCGUAGGCGGAAUGGCAAGUCGGUCGUGAAAUCCUUCGGCUCAACCGAAGAACGUCGAUCGAAACUGCCGUUCUUGAGGAUUGCAGAGGAGACUGGAAUUCCCGGAUGUAGCGGUGAAAUGUGUAGAGAUCGGGAGGAACGACCGGUGGCGAAGGCGGGUCUCUGGGCAAAUUCC
rnacentral:rRNA from 1 species